CACAAUUUCUCAAUACAAUUCAAACCCAAAUCAGAGAUUAUUCUCUAUACCAAACAACACUUUAACCCCUCUCACAUGACAACUCUGGCCCUCUCCUUUCUGACUCGAUUGAAGUCCUUACCCUUGAGGCUUCAGCGCUGAAUUUUGAUUUUAAACAUGAUUUUAACCUUUCAGCCUUGCCACACGCGAUGUCACUCCUCAGAACACAAAUUUUGAUUUUGAACACGGGUUUUGGGAGGUAAACUUUAGAUUUCUUUCACCUAUUAAUAUGUUUAUGAGCUUGAAUUUGUAAAUAUGAAUUUUGUGUUUUGGAAUCUUGUGAAUAUAAAUUUUGUAAAUUGCUAAUGUAAUGAUUUUGUGAAACUAAAUUUGUGAUGUAUGGAGAGAUUUUUUCAAAGAGAACCUUCAAACAUUGAUUCAGUAUUGAAUUCUUAAAAAUUAAUUUGAAUGAUCUUCCAUUAAAUCAUUCCGAAUUGGGACCAAUUUCAUCUUAUAACCCCAAUCGAAAAGAUGAAACUAGACAAGACUAUUUACCUAGAUAUCUAUGUCAACCAAUAGGGCAUGAUUUUCCACAAGACGUCUUAAAUCAGAUCGGUUUCAACAACAUGUAAAUUAGUUAGAAUAAACUCAUAAAGUGUCAAAAUAGAUGGAGCAUAUUGCUUGUAUUGUUACUUUGUAAAGUUAUACUAAGUAAUGCUUCGGUGAAUAGACAAAUGAUAGCCCCAACAAUCCAAAAGACGUUGUAAUUGUAAUGCUUCGGGGAAUAGACAAAUGAUAGCCCCAACAAUCCAAAAGACGUUCUAAUUAUAACGUUGAACAAUAGUUCUUUCAACAAGUUCGGUCGAAGAUGUAAUGCAACACUUUCAAACGAUGAAAUCUCGUAACGAACAACUAUAGGUCGUUUUUUAUAAUUGGUAAAGAUGAUCGUAUUUAUAUUAUGUGUUUUUAAAAUUCUAAUGACAUUGUUAUCUUUACUAUUGUAUUGUAUUUUUAUUAUGUGACCAAUCUAACCCAACCCAAAUCGUUGAAUCAACCCUUAAUUUUUAUGUCAAGUUCUAAGAAAUUGGAGCAUCUAAAAACAGUGACUCCAUUAGAAUAGAUUCCUGGAUUCGCUCGUGUUUAAGGGGGUUAAAGUGUAAGUUUCAUAAUCAUGCUUAAGGGGCUUGUAUAAUAGUGCUUAUUCCAUUUGUACCUUAAAAAAAUAAUAUCUUAUUCCAUUUGUACUUUAAAAAAAUAAUAUGACCAAUAGUUUUGUGUGGGACACCGAUAACAUAAAUUAAUGGUCUAUAUUUUUGUGGGUGUUACAAUUGGAAUGUGUUGGUGCUUUGAAUAGUAUGUGGAAAGUUUGAUCGAAAUUCUUGGUUAUGGAUUCUCUUGCGUCAUUCCAUUAGAAAGAUAUGUGUUCUUACAAAUAUUACGGGGACCUACAUAUGUCUCAUUAGCAUUAAUAGAUCGAUUACGAUACUAUUUCACCUUCAUUGACAAGUACAUUAGAAAGGCACAUAUUAAUUUAAUGUGUGUGUACAUUUAAGAAGUGCGGAGUUGUUAAAAAUAGACUCGGGGCUGAAUAACUGAAUUCGAAUUUGUUUUUUUUAACCGAUUCGAUUCGAAUAUUCGAAUCCAAAUGAUUUGGGUGAACAGGAAUCGUAACCUAAACGUCAAUUGGGUGGCCUUGUUUCAAAACCCAGUCAUGAUUUUCUAGUUGUUCUGAUUUUUCUGGCUAGUAUCUUGCUAGUCGUUUUUAUGUAUAUAAUAUUUCAGACUUCAGAUAUUCAUAAAAAGAAAGAACAAAAAAUUCUGAAAAUUAGAGGAUAGGGUUAGGAGUGUUGCAAGUGAACAAGAACAUUCUAAUAUAAAUGUUAUGUUGUGCAUAGCUCGACAGUGGUAUAAAUGAUGUUUAGAAAUUGUUUUAAUUUGACACUUUUCCGGAUUUAGUGAUGCAUGUUUAUAGAAUUAUGAGAAAUGGGUAAAAUAACAUUUCAAUAUAAGGUUGUGAGUUAAAGGUGUAUUUGAAAUGUUUAUUGCAACAAGUGAAAUUUAAACUAGAACUGUAAUUAGUGUAAAUUUCUAAAUUUGUCUGAAUGUCAAUAAUGUGAUUUGACAUGUUAGCAUAUCCUAAUUUACGAAAGGGGCCUAAUAAUUCCACAUGGUAUCAUCUUAUUCUAACAUGGUUGAUACAGGCCGUAUAAGGUUAUACGGUAGCCUUUGUCAGUUCAUUUUAUUUUAUACGGGCCGUAUAACCUUAUAGGCCCGUAUCAACCAUGUUAGAAUAAGAUGAUAAUGUGGUCGUAUAUAUACAGUGGCGGACCUAGAAAUUUUUCUCUAGAGGUGCGGAAUAUUUUUAAAUAUUUUAGGCCUCUAGCUGUAUAAAAAUAUCGGUUCAUAGCGGGUCGGGUCGGAUCAUGUAAGACAAAAGAAUAUCAAAUUAAAAUUUAUAAAUCAUCAAAAACACGUCAAACGUCAUUACAAAUUACAAACGUAUUUAAAAUUGUGCCCUACAGGGUUUUUUUUUAAAUAUAUCCAAAAUAUCAUCUAAGGAUACUAAACACGCCAUAAGUUCAAUACCACUACAUGAAAAAGGGUCUACGGCCACACUUUUGGCAAAACUGUCCUGCCACACAUUUGAAAAAAAAUGUGUGGCUAAAGGUCAUUCAUAAAAUUUUAAAACACCUUUAGCCACACAUUUUAUUAUUAAUGUGACCAUUUAUACCAGUUCAUUAUCAUUAGCCACACUUUUAGAAAAUAAUGUGACAUUUAUUAGCCACAAAUCGAAAUAUGUGACCGAAUGUUUUCUAUAGCCACAUAUUUUUGUUUCGUGUGACAAAAAACUCAUGUAUUUGACACCUUUAGCCACACUUUAAGAAAAAAAAAAUGUGACAUAUAUUAGCCAUAGUAGCAACGUGUGGCCAAAUGUUAUCUAAGAUCACAGUGUUUGUUUUCAUGGACCAACUAUGUAAUUAACUCACAUAUUUAUAUAAAACCUUUAGCCACAUUUUUAAGAAAAAACUGUGGCAUUUAUUAGCCACACUAAAAAAGUGUGGCUAAAUGUGAUCUACAACCACAAUAUUUGUUUCAUUUGACUAAAAAUAGAUAUAUUCGAACCUUUAACCACACGUUAAGUAAAAACAACCAGACUAGAAAACUGUGGCCAAAUGCGAUUUAUGACCACGUUGUUAUAUGCUUAAUAAUGUGGCAGAAAUCUCACGCAUAUGGCCACAUAUAUUAUUUUUUGUGACCAAAGUAUAGACAAUAGCCACACUUAAAAUUACAACAUUUCAUGUGGUGUUACAUAAACAUUCAUCAAAUCAUCGUCACUUUGUUAUUUUGUGUGACGAAAUGUUAUAAAAUGUCAUGGAAAAAAUGUGUGACCAAAUGUUUAACUUACUACAUCUUUAAAAAUCCCUCCCCCCCCUAAAUAUUUCAUCCUAAAAAUUAAA
rnacentral:lncRNA from 1 species